GUGGUUGUGGCUCAAUGGCAGAGCGCUUGCCUAGCAUGUGCGAGGCACUGGGUUCAAUCCUCAGCACCACA
rnacentral:tRNA from 1 species